rnacentral:rRNA from 1 species
GACGAACGCUGGCGGCGUGCUUAACACAUGCAAGUCGAACGGAAAGGCCCUGCUUGUGUGGGGUGCUCGAGUGGCGAACGGGUGAGUAACACGUGAGUAACCUGCCCUUGACUUUGGGAUAACUUCAGGAAACUGGGGCUAAUACCGGAUAGGAGCUCCUGCGGCAUGGUGGGGGUUGGAAAGUUUCGGCGGUUGGGGAUGGACUCGCGGCUUAUCAGCUUGUUGGUGGGGUAGUGGCUUACCAAGGCUUUGACGGGUAGCCGGCCUGAGAGGGUGACCGGCCACAUUGGGACUGAGCUACGGCCCAGACUCCUACGGGAGGCAGCAGUGGGGAAUAUUGCACAAUGGGCGGAAGCCUGAUGCAGCAACGCCGCGUGCGGUAUGACGGCCUUCGGGUUGUAAACCGCUUUCGCCUGUGACGAAGCGUGAGUGACGGUAAUGGGUAAAGAAGCACCGGCUAACUACGUG